AUUGAACGCUGGCGGCAUGCCUUACACAUGCAAGUCGAACGGUAACGGGCCUUCGGGUGCCGACGAGUGGCGAACGGGUGAGUAAUACAUCGGAACGUGCCCGAUCGUGGGGGAUAACGAGGCGAAAGCUUUGCUAAUACCGCAUACGAACUACGGAUGAAAGCAGGGGACCGCAAGGCCUUGCGCGGACGGAGCGGCCGAUGGCAGAUUAGGUAGUUGGUGGGAUAAAAGCUUACCAAGCCGACGAUCUGUAGCUGGUCUGAGAGGAUGAUCAGCCACACUGGGACUGAGACACGGCCCAGACUCCUACGGGAGGCAGCAGUGGGGAAUUUUGGACAAUGGGCGCAAGCCUGAUCCAGCCAUGCCGCGUGCAGGAUGAAGGCCUUCGGGUUGUAAACUGCUUUUGUACGGAACGAAAAGCCUUCUUUUAAUACAGGAGGGUCAUGACGGUACCGGAAGAAUAAGCACCGGCUAACUACGUG
rnacentral:rRNA from 1 species